AUUAUCAUAUUCUUUCCGAAGUUUUCUGAGAGGGGUUUGCUGGUUUCAUUUGAUGUUAUUCUGCCCAGGUCAUCAACACAGCGCUGGUUAAUAGUUUAUGCUGCUCAUGGUUUGCGUGGACUGUCUUGUCGUUUAGGAAGAACUAUCCUCGUUUCCUCAUUACCAUACGAAAGUGGCAUCAUUGUUUGUGCUGGUGGCAGAAUAGUACUGUGCUGUUGCCAUGGGAGAUAGAGCAAAGAAACAACAUCUACUGGACCAAUUUUUGAAGAAGACUUCUCGUCCAAGUAACACUUCAAACAACCAACAAGAAACUCCUGGCCAAUCUCCAGGAGCUGAUGCCAAGACUUGUCAUCAGAGGAACUCCUCGGACAACCAGCCAGGAACAUCUUGCCAAUCUCAGGAUCCUGUUAUCAAGAAAGAAGCACAUGAUGGAAGCCAUUCCUUCCGAUACCGCU